CCCCUAAAAAAUGUAAACCUACUACAACUACUACAACGACAUAUUGGGGCAGAAGUUGGGAACAUUGGCCUUUAAAAACACGGAUACGACUUCAACAAGUACAACAAGUACUUCUAUUGGAGGAGAGGGUGGACGCGGCGGGGUAGGUUCAGGAAGCGGAAGAGUUUAUCCGUCUGGUGAAAUGACUGUAAACCUUGAUGAUACUGGAGUUGUCAGUGGUCAUAUACCUGGUGUUUCUGUAACUUCCGGUGUGACCCAUCGGUUUGGUGGCAAACCAUGCAGCAGACAAGCUGUAUUUAAGGUUCAUUUUGCAAAGGAAAAAACAUUAGAGCAUUGCGUUGAGGACGAAAAACUAUACACGAAGUUGUAUGCACAGCGAAUGUUAAAAAUCCAAAUGUAUCUUUCAAAUGGCGAACGAAGCGGUUUUAUGUUUAAUAUUGGCGACAGCCGGACAAAUGAUG